rnacentral:hammerhead_ribozyme from 1 species
GCACUGCUGACCAGUCCCAAACAAGACGAAACAGCUGUUCAGUGC